GUAACAAGGUCUCCGUUGGUGAACCAGCGGAGGGAUCAUUACCGAGUUUACAACUCCCAAACCCAAUGUGAACCAUACCAAACUGUUGCCUCGGCGGGGUCACGCCCCGGGUGCGUCGCAGCCCCGGAACCAGGCGCCCGCCGGAGGGACCAACCAAACUCUUUCUGUAGUCCCCUCGCGGACGUUAUUUUUACAGCUCUGAGCAAAAAUUCAAAAUGAAUCAAAACUUUCAACAACGGAUCUCUUGGUUCUGGCAUCGAUGAAGAACGCAGCGAAAUGCGAUAAGUAAUGUGAAUUGCAGAAUUCAGUGAAUCAUCGAAUCUUUGAACGCACAUUGCGCCCGCCAGUAUUCUGGCGGGCAUGCCUGUCCGAGCGUCAUUUCAACCCUCGAACCCCUCCGGGGGGUCGGCGUUGGGGAUCGGGAACCCCUAAGACGGGAUCCCGGCCCCGAAAUACAGUGGCGGUCUCGCCGCAGCCUCUCCUGCGCAGUAGUUUGCACAACUCGCACCGGGAGCGCGGCGCGUCCACGUCCGUAAAACACCCAACUUCUGAAAUGUUGACCUCGGAUCAGGUAGGAAUACCCGCUGAACUUA
rnacentral:rRNA from 1 species